UACGUAGGUGGCAAGCGUUGUCCGGAAUUAUUGGGCGUAAAGCGCGCGCAGGCGGUCCUUUAAGUCUGAUGUGAAAGCCCACAGCUCAACCGUGGAGGGUCAUUGGAAACUGGGGGACUUGAGUACAGAAGAGAAGAGUGGAAUUCCACGUGUAGCGGUGAAAUGCGUAGAGAUGUGGAGGAACACCAGUGGCGAAGGCGGCUCCCUGGUCCGGUUCUGACGCUGAGACGCGAAAGCGCGGGGAGCGAACGGG
rnacentral:rRNA from 1 species